UACGUAGGGGGCAAGCGUUGUCCGGAUUCAUUGGGCGUAAAGAGCUCGUAGGCGGCUUGGCAAGUCGGGUGUGAAACCUCCAGGCUCAACCUGGAGACGCCACCCGAUACUGCCAUGGCUAGAGUCCGGUAGGGGACCACGGAAUUCCUGGUGUAGCGGUGAAAUGCGCAGAUAUCAGGAGGAACACCGGUGGCGAAGGCGGGUCUCUGGGCCGAUACUGACGCUGAGGAGCGAAAGCGUGGGGAGCGAACAGG
rnacentral:rRNA from 1 species